GAGUUUGAUUAUGGCUCAGGAUGAACGCUAGCUACAGGCUUAACACAUGCAAGUCGAUGGGCAUCAUGGUAUUAGCUUGCUAAUACUGAUGGCGACCGGCGCACGGGUGAGUAACACGUAUCCAACCUGGCUUUCACUCAGGGAUAGCCCAUCGAAAGAUGGAUUAAUACUUGAUGGUAUAUACAUUUCGCAUGUUUUGUAUAUUAAAGAUUUAUCGGUGAUAGAUGGGGAUGCGUACCAUUAGUUUGUUGGCGGGGUAACGGCCCACCAAGACUUCGAUGGUUAGGGGUUCUGAGAGGAAGGUCCCCACAUUGGAACUGAGACACGGUCCAAACUCCUACGGGAGGCAGCAGUGAGGAAUAUUGGUCAAUGGACGUAAGUCUGAACCAGCCAAGUAGCGUGAAGGAUGACUGCCCUCUGGGUUGUAAACUUCUUUUAUAUGUGAAUAAAUUUUCCUACGUGUAGGUUUUUGCAUGAACAUAUGAAUAAGCUCGCA
rnacentral:rRNA from 1 species